rnacentral:lncRNA from 1 species
AAAUAUUAUUGUACAAAUAAUUAUAAAAUGCUGUAAACUGCGAAGAUUGCAAUUUCACAUUUUGCAUAUACAUGACAAAGUUAGUUAUUUUUUUAUAUGCAAUUAUACAAAAUAAAAUCAAACAAGAUUUUAAAUGAAGAUACAAUAUGUAGACAAAUAAGAAUAAAUGUUGCGCGUCGCGUUGCACAAAUCUUGCACUCUGAUAUUUUAAGGAAUAGUAUACACUCCUGCAUUUAAAUGCGGCUGCAAUUUUAUCUUAUUUUUAAAGUUUUAUAAAAAUAUAUAAAUGUACAAAAGAAAGUAAAGGCGGUUCCCUUUAAAAUUACUGAAGUUGUCAAUUGAUGAAGCUCUUUUUACAUCGUGUGCACUUUGUUGAUUAUAAUGAGAGAACUUGAGUAAAUAAAUAGAGAAGUAAAUAAAUAAUAUUGUCGCUAUUAUAUAUUUUUUUCAUAGUUAUAUUUGAUGCAUCAUACUAGGUGCCGUGUGAGGACCAAACCAAAUCUCCAUGUUCUGUGUGUGUAUAUAUAUAUAUACCUUGCUACAUGUACUGUGUCAGGCUAACCAAUGCUUGUCAUUUGCACUUACAUAUUGUUGCUCUUUUGUUGUUUUUGAUUGCUUCCAUUGUCCUCAUUUGUAAGUCGCUUUGGAUAAAUGCGUCUGCUAAAUGUAAAUGUAAAUGUAAAUAUUAAUGCAUGCAUGUAGUAUGUACUUCUAGUAGUUGUAAAGCAUGUGAUUGUGUUAUAAUUAUAAUGAAGUGAAUGUAAAAUGAUAGAUGAUAUCAAUCUAAGACAUAAAUGCAUCAUAUUGACGAAACGGUAUCAUAUUGUGAACUAUGUACACAGGAAGUCAGUGGAGAUAUAAACGAGAGAACUUUAGCCAAUCAGAUGGUGCCAAAGGCUCCUGAUGUCAUAGUGGAGGCCCGUUACAAUGAAGAUGACGAGGUGAUCGGUAAAAUGAAGAAUGUCUGUCUCCAUGAUAAAGACAUGCUGAGAGGAAUAGCCCAGAAUUUACCUCUGAAGAUGAACAUGACGCGAUGCGUCACAGCUUGAACAAGAGGAGAAUAUCAUUCUGAUGAGUAGCCUAAGAUUACUUGCAUCUGUUUUUGUGUUAUUGUGACAUAACUUGUACACAUUUUACUAGUUAGACUUUUCCCAAACUAUAAUUCCUGACUACAUGUAUGAAAUCAAGUGAAAUAUUUUGAAAUUUCAUUUCAUUGUCUAAAUGUCUCACAACACCAGGAUGUUUUUAAUCUUUUAUAACAUAUAAAACCACAAGAUAUCGAAGUAGUGUUAACACUAUGAAUGUUAUUAGAGUCUAGAAAUAUUUGGCACAAAGGUGUGUUACUGUUCAAGUCUCAGUGUUCAGAUCAGUAUGUUCAAUUAUGUGUCCUUGACCUUCAUGGUGUAUAUUUUUAAUAUACUGUGUUGUUAAUAAAAUAGAAAUAAUCAAAAACCCACUAUAUUUUACUCUCCUCACACUCUUUCUUACCUGCCUUGGAUACAUUCAUAUUGAUGGCCCAUUAUGGGAGGCCCUUUCUCUCUCAGGUGUGAAUCACUAAAUAUUCAUGGCCAUUGUCACUCCCUUGCAUAUGCCUUUCUAUCGCAAAUCAUGUCUUGCAAAAGUUAAAUCAAUAUAUUGUUUUCUGUGAACAAGUAAAUAGGAUGAUUUUCACAUUUUGUGGCAAAAAACUCUACCACAUCCAGUUGUCAAAAGUCAAGUCUCAAAAUGUGUUUUAUGGCCUUAUUUCAGUGACUUAAAAAUGUAAGUUUUUCACUAACCAUGCAUAAACGUUUUCUCCAAAACACAAACAUGUACAUUCAUGCUGCUCACAUAUUAUUGUAGCCCAGUUUGUGCUGGAUACCGUGUUAUUAGACUUUAGCCAUUAAUAUGUUUUUAAGAUACUGCCCACCCCCCUCUCAAAAAAGUCAUUCAAGAUGUAUGUACAUGUGUAUAUACAGUCAUAUGAAAAAGUUAGGAUACCGUAUUGAAUUCCAUGCUUUUCUGUAUCAGGACUAGGCAUAUGCUGGUAUCAAAUUUUCAUGUUGCGAUUUAAUUGCUAAUGCUUUUAUCACAGUAUAUAGUAUUAUCACGGUAUUGAAACUUAGUUUCAAAAAAGUGGUCAUAAUACAGUAUAACAGGUUUAAUAACUUUUUUCUUAUAACAAAAAUAACUGAAUAUUUAAAUUCAAUAAAGCAAUACAGAAAAGUAUAUAAAGUUAAAUGUUUCACACAGAUUAAAGUGCAAAAGAACUAUAAAGACCAACAGGAAUCACUUUACAGUAAGACCUCAUUAGUUAACCUUAGUUAAAGGAAACGCCACCGUUUUUCCAUAUUCCACUAUGUUCUUCCCUCAGCUUAGACGAGUUGAUGCGUACCUCUCCCAUGCGGUGCCACUAUGCUAGCGUUUAGCUUAGCACUGUUCAAUCCUUAGGAUCCAAACAGGGAUGAAUUUAGAUGCCAAGGUUGAAGUACUGCGAAGUGCUCUUCCACCAUUCAUUAUAGUCAUCAUUUUUAUCCACUUAGGAAAUCGCCACUGUUUAUUUUGUCACCAUACUUACUCUUGUAACUACUCAUUUAACCGUCUUUAAAUAGGGAAAACAUGGAAGUGUUUUGUGGCUUCUAAAUUCAUCCCUGUCUGGAUCCUAAGGAAUGAAUGGUUUUAAGCUAAAGGCUAGCAUAGUGGCGCCGUGCGCUACAGCGAUUGAGUGCACAAACUAAGAUGGGAGAGGUCCGUAUCAACUUGAGGGAAGAACAUAGUGGAAUAUGGAAAAACGGUGGCAUUUUCCUUUUAUGGAUUAACAUUCACAAUGAGCAAUAGCUACAUUUGAUACAGAAGUUAUUAAUCUUUGUUAAAAAAUAAGUCUUAGUUCAUGUUAGCUCAUUAAAUAACAGUUGUAGCUUUUGAUUUUAACAACUUGUUAUUAAAUAUUGGAAUACCUAAGAUUAAUGAAUUUUUAAUUGGCAGUUUGUUAACUAAUGAAUUAAAUAAUGUUAACUAAUGAAGCCCUAAUGUAAAGUGUGCGCAAACAAUAAAGAAUCAAAACACUUUAAAACAAUAUCUAGGGCAUGUUGUCGUCCAGAAUAAAAUGUUUAAAAAAAGUUUGAAAAAGAAUAGCCUAUUAAGUCUAAAUAUUUAAGUAUUUGGCGCUGUGAUGAACACCAUAGCAAAUCCACAAAUCUGAAUGGGUAUUUAAAUCAUUUAAAUAAGUUUUAGAAAGUAGGGCAGCUGCUUUAUGGAGUUUCCAGGAUAACGGCUGCAUUUUCUGCAGUUCAGCGCCAUCUGCUGUUAGAGAGUGAAUGUGCUUUCAUUCAGUGUCUUUCACGCAUUCCCCCCUGUGCCUCUCAUGCAUGCUUUGUUUACAUCAGAGCCCACACACGUCUUUCAAGCAGCAUACAGCAGUGUUGUGCAUUUUGACCAGUUGCUGGGCAAAGUAUUCUUAAAAUGCAUCCCAAAUUUUUAAUAAUUUGUAAUUUAUAAUUAUUCACGGUAUUUAGAAGUGCCCACAAUAACAAUAUCAUGCAUAGUCAUUACCGUGAUAUAUCGCAUUACCGAAUACCAGCAUAUGUCUAAUCAGGACAUAAUAAAAAAUUAUCUCGUCCUUGGCAGGUCUUAAAAUUUGGGAAAUAAAACCCCAUAUGAACAACAACACAUGACACAUCACACAGUGUCAUUAUUAUUAACAAAAUAAAGCCAAGAUAGCAAAGCAAUGAUUCAAGAUUUUUAUUUGUCACAUACACAAUUAUAUAGAGCAUAUAUAACUAGCAGUGAAAUGUAAGUCAGGUCUGCUACAUGGACAGUGCAAUUAUUAAAUAAUACAAGACAGGUGAAAAUAUACAUAUAGGUAUGAAAGAAUGAAAUAAAAGUAAACAAUAACAAUGUAAGAUACACAGGAAUGUACAAGAGGCAAAUGUGCAAACAGGUUGACACUGUCAGUAUGUCAGUAUGAGGUAGAGAAUGAUGAAUAUCUUACCUAUUAAGUGGAGACAUGUAGAUGUUAAGAGGCUGGUUUUGAGUUUAGGAGCCAUGGAAGCGCUUACCAGAUGGCAGAUGGUUACCGGGGUGGACGGAGUCCUUGAUGAUUUUAACAGCUCUGCUUUUGCAGCGUUUGAGGUAGAUGUCCUGCAGAGAGGGAAGAGCAGACCCUGAGAUGUGCUCUGCUAAGCGCACAACUCUAUGCAGGGCUUUGCAGUCUUGACUGGAGCUGUUCCCAUAUCACACUGAGAUACACUGAGUCAAUACACUUUCUAUGGCCCCUGAAUAAAAGUUUUCAGGAUUGCGGGCGAAACCCUGAAUUUCCUCAGCUGUCACAGAUGGUACAGUCUUUGCCUGGCUUUAUUAACCUGUGUUUGGAUGUGUGAAGUCAAAGUCAGCUCUUCGGAGAUGUUUACACCAAGGUACUUGAAGCUGUUCACCCUCUCCACAGGGUUUCCGCUGAUCAUAAGAGGAGUAUAGGGCCGCUGCUGUCUCUUCCUGAAGGCAACAAUCAGCUCCUUAGUUUUGCUCACAUUCAGAGAGAGACAAUUGUCCUGGCACCAUGAUGUUAGUUUCUCUACCUCAUCCAAGUAUGCGGUCUCAUUAUUGUUGGAAAUGAGGCCCAGAACCACAGUAUCAUCAGCAAAUUUAAUAAUAGAUGUGGAGCUGUGGGAAGACACGCAGUCAUGUGUGUAGAGAGAGUAGAGCAGGGGACUCAGGAUACAGCCCUGUGGGACUCCUACGUUCAGGGUGAUAGAGCUGGAGAUGAACUGGCCUACUUUCACCACUUGAGGUCUGCCGGUGAGGAAGUCUUGAAUCCAGUUGCAGAGUGAAGAAUUCAGGCCGAGGUCUAUGAGUUUGGAAGCUAGCUUUAUGGGGACUAUAGUAUUGAAAGCUGAGCUAUAGUCGAUAAAUAGAAGCCUUACAUAGUUCCCGUUAUUGCUGUCAAUGUGUGUGAGAGAAGAGUGCAGGAUGUGUGACAUGGCAUCAUCAGUGGAUCUGUUGGGUAGCAAACUGAAGAGGGUCCAAAGUAUCCGGGAUGUAGGAGCAAAUGUACUUUUUAACCAGUCCCUCAAAGACCUUCAUGACUAUUGAUGUAAGAGCAACUGGACGAUAGUCAUUCAGACAAGAGGGUUUAUUGUUCUUAGGCACAGGGAUGAUGACAGAUUUUUUUAAAGGAGGUGGGCACCACUGAGGUAGCAAGAGACUCAUUAAAGAUGGAUGUAAACAAACCAGCCAGUUGAUCAGCGCAGGACCUCAGAACAUGGCCAGAAAUCCCAUCAGGUCCGGCUGCUUUCCUGACAUUCACUCGCUUUAGAGCCCUCCGAACCUCGUCCUCCGACACGGUGAUUACAUGAUUAUCGCUGUUCUGACUGCUGCUUCCUGACGCGCUGAUCGGCAGACUCACGCUGCUUAGAUUGUUUUCAAACCAGUCGUAGAAAGAGUUUUACUCGUCAGCCAGCGACGGAUCAGCAGCGUCAGGAUGUUUGUUGAUGUUGCUGCUGAGCGCAUCAUGAAGCUUAAACAAAGCAAAGCCGGUGUCUGCUUGUGGUGGAAUGUAAACAGCAGUAAUGAUGAUCGAUGAAAACUCCUGAGGAAGAUAGAAUGGGCGGCAAAUAAUGGAUAAAUGUUCCAGAUGAGGCGAGCAGGAGCGCAACAGAGUGGAGAUAUUCCUGGGGA